rnacentral:rRNA from 1 species
AUUGAACGCUGGCGGCAGGCCUAACACAUGCAAGUCGAACGAGUGGCGGACGGGUGAGUAAUGUAUGGGGACUGCCCGAUAGAGGGGGAUAACUACUGGAAACGGUAGCUAAUACCGCAUACUAUCGGAAAACCCAUAGGGGAUUAGCUAGUAGGUGUGGUAAUGGCUCACCUAGGCGACGAUCCCUAGCUGGUCUGAGAGGAUGAUCAGCCACACUGGGACUGAGACACGGCCCAGACUCCUACGGAGGAAGCAGUGGGGAAUAUUGCACAAUGGGCGCAAGCCUGAUGAAGCCAUGCCGCGGGUAUGAAGAAGGCCCUAGGGUUGUAAAGUACUUUCAGUCGGGAGGCGUUACCGGCAGAAGAAGCACCGGCUAACUCCGUGCCAGCAGCCGCGGUAAUAC